GCUGAUAUGGCCGAGUCGUUAAGGCGAGUGAUUUGAAAUCACUUGGGCAUUGCCCGCGUAGGUUCAAAUCCUGCUGUCAGCG